GCACUGCUGAGGAGUCCCACAACAGGUCGAAACGACCGUCCAGUGC
rnacentral:hammerhead_ribozyme from 1 species